GCCGGUGGCGCAUACCUGUAGUCCCAGCUACUUGGGAGGCUGAAGUGGGAGGAUCACUUGAGGCCAGGAGUUCUGGGCUGUAGCGCACGAUGCCUACCUGGUGUCCGCACUAAGUUCAGUAUCAAUAUGGUGACCUUCCGGGAGCGGGGGACCACCAGGUUGCCUAAGGAGGGCAAACCCGCCCAGGUUGGAAACGGAGCAGGUCAAAACUCCCAUGCUAAUCAUGAGUGAGAUCGCGCUUGUGAAUAGCCACUGCACUCCAGCCUGGGCAACAUAUUGAGACCCUAUCUCU
rnacentral:SRP_RNA from 1 species